rnacentral:rRNA from 1 species
GAUGAACGCUGGCGGCGUGCCUAAUACAUGCAAGUCGAGCGAACAGACGAGGAGCUUGCUCCUCUGACGUUAGCGGCGGACGGGUGAGUAACACGUGGAUAACCUACCUAUAAGACUGGGAUAACUUUGGGAAACCGGAGCUAAUACCGGAUAAUAUAUUGAACCGCAUGGUUCAAUAGUGAAAGACGGUUUUGCUGUCACUUAUAGAUGGAUCCGCGCCGCAUUAGCUAGUUGGUAAGGUAACGGCUUACCAAGGCGACGAUGCGUAGCCGACCUGAGAGGGUGAUCGGCCACACUGGAACUGAGACACGGUCCAGACUCCUACGGGAGGCAGCAGUAGGGAAUAUUCCGCAAUGGGCGAAAGCCUGACGGAGCAACGCCGCGUGAGUGAUGAAGGUCUUCGGAUCGUAAAACUCUGUUAUUAGGGAAGAACAAAUGUGUAAGUAACUAUGCACGUCUUGACGGUACCUAAUCAGAAAGCCACGGCUAACUACGUG